GUUCGCCGGGUCCUGCGCAGCAAUGCGUCUGCUUGCUGGUGGAAUUCGCCAGCCGCCAGCCUCGCUGGCCCAGGUGCUUGACAGCAUCAAAGGUCAAAGUGUGUUCUUCAUGCUAACAUCUAUGAGAAAACCGAACGCUUCUUUUUCUGAAAGUGCUCAGAUUUAUUCUGCUGAAUAUCGGUUCGUACAAACGACAGCCGCAUUACAGUUUAUUGUCACAUCAAAAGGGAAAGGCCAAAAAAAUAUAUAACUUAGGCAAGAUUUUUGAAACUUUAUUGAAACUCGAAAGACAAACUGCUGUCUCUUCCUCCAGUGAUGUUCUUCCUCCUUCAAUCUCUACCUUCCCCAAAAUGAUGUACAUACAGCCCUUAGAUGAGAAAACGUUUAUUGAAGAUGGUUGUCUCAACUUCCAAACCUUCAGCCUUGUCUCUCCGCUCAACCUUUUUUUAAAAAUAAAACUUCAUCUGAUUUUAAUCGACUAUUGCCAUCAUCGUCGAUAAAUGUUUCUUGACAGAAUACUGCUGAUUCUGAGAAUUGGGAAAGAAAGAAAUUGUCCAGAUAGUUCUCUGAUAUACUUGGGAAGGACAUACAUCUUUAUUUAUUUAUUUAUUCAUUAUUUAUUCAAUAAUGGUGUAAUGUGACAUGUGCUAAAUUUCUAAAUGAAAGGUGUCAAUAAUAAGGGCUACAGGAUCUGGGAGCAGGGAGUCAUUUCGGACGGCAGAAGAUGCGUCAGGAGGAAAUAUUCAGACUGAAAGGACUGCAAUAAGUAAAAAGUGGGACGAUGAAAGGGCAGAUGUCUGAAUGGAAUGCUGCCAGGCUUCUUCCAGGAACAACAAAUGAGUGCCUUUUACAUUUGUCAUGUGUUGACUGAAUAAAAGUAUACCACUCUUAAACUUUCAAAUAUCAACACCAAUCCUUGAUGCUUCCCUUUAAGCAUUUUCCGCAAAAGCUGUCUUCCUGAAUCCUGAUUGAUGUCUUUGUUCUUCAUCAUCAUCGAGAUACUUAAAAAUCAUUUGAAGAAGCCACCUGAUAUCUGGAACAAAGAGCAUAUUAAAUUAGUCCCAAUGCAGCCAUGCAUCCAGGGGGCCCUUGAUUAAUGUUAAUUGGUGAUGACAGCAUCUCUGUCGUGUAAAUUAAGAAUGGCACAAACAAGACACAGUGGAACAUAGAACAAAAGUCAUCUGCAGGAAGGCAGCCCAUCUUACAGAGUAAGAAAGGCACAACUUUGGUUGUGCACACAGCUUUGUUACCACAAAAUGCUAAGGUGAGAUCAGCAAAAGCAAGUGUGUAGAAUGUAGCCUGCCUGCUAAACAAGCGCAAUGAUCACUGCAGAAGAGCUCUGCUGAGCAGGGAGUAAAUGACAGGAAAACCAAACAGCAGAUUGUAAAAAUAACUCAGUCACAUCCCAGGCUUGCUAGAGAAGUAUCAUAAAGACUUAAGGAAGAAGAUUUUACUUUGCUAUUGUUAAACAAAAGCCUACCCAAGUUUAAGAGGCAAAGAUAUAGGAAUGGGAAAAAAAAAAGUGACUACCUUAGUAAAUGAGUUUUGUAGCCUGUGUUUUACCAGCUCUUAUCUUCUCUGCUACUGCAGGAAACAGUACCCAGUACCCUACAAAGCUCCACCCAUGUUUUGGGGAGUCCCUAGGAGGUAUUUCACAUGUGCUCGCAGCAACCACAUAGCGUAUGCCGGGCAGCACUGCCCCUUGUUCCAAUAGCCAUGCAUCUGUAGGUGUCACUCUUGCUGCUGGCUAUCACAGCCACUUUAGCUUGGUACUGAGUCUUCACUGGGCACAGCAACUGGGUACAGCCACUCCUCAAACUGCCUGGCAUUGGUGGUAAUCUAUGGCAAAGCACCUCUCCUUUUUGCGUUACCCUCUUUGAAGUGAGUAACACUAUGUCUUAGAGAGCCUUCUUUUCAUUUGUGUUUUAGCCUUUCUCAUCGCCAAAGGGCUCAAAAUGAAGUCCGUGGAGUCUAAGCCAAAAAGUAAUUCCUCAAGUGACAGAUCUCAUGCUAUGCUUCUCUCUUCCACUAGCUAAGGCCCUCUUACUGGGACAGUGGUAUCACACCUGGCUCACUCUUCCCUUUGUUGAUUUCUCUAUUUCUCAUAGGAAUAGAUUUCUGUCUAUUGCUCGUGAGAGACUGAAUUUGCACAACCUAUAUGAAGGGCAUUUUGGCAAUUUGAUCCAGGAGUUCCUCUUCUAUAAAUUUAUCUUACAGAUAGACUCACACAUAUGUGAAAAAAAAUAUUCAUUUAAAGUUGUUUAAUGUACUGUUUCUAGUUACAAAAGGUUGAAAACUACCUAAAUGUCCAUUUAGAGAGAACUAGUCAAAUACAUUACGGUUCAUCCAAAUUCAAAGAGUAGCGCAGGUUGUUCUGCUCCUUUGGGCCUUCUGAUCCUGCAUGGAUAUGUUAGGUCCAGCUAGGAAAACAGACCCUACACAAGGCAUUUCAACAAAGAGAACUUAAUAUAAGCUAUUGGUUCAUUAGCUAUUGAAGAACUUAAAGCCAAAAGGAUAAAGAAGAGGAACUCCAGGAAGCAGCUCAUACUGUAAGGCUGAGAGAACAAAAGGAAAAUGUUGAGGUUACUAGAAUGCGGAGGUUUGUAGGAGAGGCCUCCUGGAGUUGGUCAGACCGCUGAGAAAGGGCCACUGCCCCACUGGUGGGGUGCCUCUGAGGGGACAAAAUGAGACUCUCUGGGAACGUCUGGAAAAGAGACAAGCUGGAGACUGCAAUGAACUGCCACUGUGGGGUAGAAGAUCACUGUUCAGGUGCUGCGGGGAGGAACAGCAAACAAAACAGAGCAUCCCAGUCUUUCCCUAGCUUCCUUUCUUGGCAAACAUAACAGGGAGCUGGCCAUGUGAUUUGCACAGUCUGAAGGGUGAGACUGGAACUGACAUGCAACAGCUUAUUAACUUGCACACUUCCAUACAACCCCUAACAAGCAAGAAGCACCUCUUUAUGAGCUAACAUAGAAGACUCUCAAAGAAAAGAAGCAAGGCUUAGAAGACUGUUUAUGGUAUACCAUCAGUUGAAAUAAAAGAAAGACGAGUGAAUAAAAGAAAAAAAAAACUGUCCUAUGAUGUCGCAUAAUGAUGUCAUUCACAGGCACUUUCUCCCUCACUCAUGAGUCCAACUCCAUUAGCGGCAGCUAUAAAGAAAAGAGCAUUUUAUUCAGUUUACUGGUAAGAUAUGGAAACUUUAAGUUAUUGAUAGUUACCACUGAGGCUAUUUUCCUUAAAUAAAAUAACUCCAUUGGCCCUUUCUAGAUUUAUCUUGACAUAUACCUCACGAUAAGGCUGUUGCUCCUUUUAGAGACAAAAACAUAUCAAAAUCCUUUGAGGCAAA
rnacentral:lncRNA from 1 species